rnacentral:rRNA from 1 species
AUUCCAGCUCCAAUAGCGUAUAUUUAAGUUGUUGCAGUUAAAAAGCUCGUAGUUGGAUUUCGGAUGUGAACGACCGGUCCGCCGUUGCGGUGUGCACUGGACGUUUGUAUCUUGUUGUCGGGGACGCGCACCUUGCCUUAACUGGUCGGGACGCGGAGUCGGCGCUGUUACUUUGAAAAAAUUAGAGUGCUCAAAGCAGGCAACCGCUCUGAAUGCAUUAGCAUGGAAUAACGCUAUAGGACUCUGGUCUUAUUGUGUUGGUCUUCGAGACCGGAGUAAUGAUUAAGAGGGACAGUUGGGGGCAUUCGUAUUUCAUUGUCAGAGGUGAAAUUCUUGGAUUUAUGAAAGACGAACUUCUGCGAAAGCAUUUACCGAAGAUGUUUUCAUCG